GAAAGGAUUGUUUUCUUCUCUCUAUCCCUGAUGCAGAGCACAGUCCCUGGCACUUAAAAUCAUAAAGUCUGCGGGGCUCCCCACGCAAGGGCAGACGGGGCAGGAGAUGCCAUGGACCCAGCCCCGGGUGAGGGGCCCGGCUGAUGCCUCCUUAGCCGGAGCUUGGAACAGACUCACAGCCAGCAAAGUGAGUUCAGUGGCUGAGGUCACAUACCCUGCCCAGGGGGCCUCAUAACCCAAUUCAGACUACUCUUCCCUGUC
ensembl:ribozyme RNaseP_nuc Nuclear RNase P